ensembl:lncRNA
GUAAGCUUUAGAUUUUGUAUUAAUAUUGUUUCUCCUUUUAAGACCAGUCUUCUGUGGCUGCAGGGCAGAGUCUGCUGACGGUGUCUCUGCUUAUCGGCGGCGUCAUGCGCGUGUAGGGUCGGACAUCCGAGUGAUACACCCUGAGAUAACCUCGUCACGUGAACUGCGCUGCAGAUUGGAUUAUGAAGGUGUCAAAUCUCUCCCUGAUGGUCACAAGCUAUUUUCUGAGAGUUUCAGACUUCAACGUUCAAAUUCCUUGCAGAUGGCCAACCAGCCCGUCCAAUCCCCACUGCAAUUAACCUUUGGAGGAGAAUAACAAAGCAGUACACAGGGGCACUGCGGCCGGACUCAGCUGCUUUGAUGUGGUUCCUGUGUUUGCUCUGCCGUGCACUGGGAGGGAGGUGAACUCUGCCGACACGUCCAGGGGUGCUGAGGGGGGCGUCACUGCAGCAUGGAAGGAACUGUUAUCGCCUUUCUGAAACAUUGGCUGCAUUUACUUACACAGAGGAGCUGGCCUUCAGCCACACUUUUAUUAGCACAUAUCAUACCCUGCAGCAGGCUCUCACAGUUGCCUCAGAUGAACCGCUGGAGUCCUGAUAUUCCUUUUGAUGUUAGGUGACAUGUCCACUGAUUGGGUGAUGUUUUUGUGAAUGACAGUGUUUGAGAUUACCUGUGGUCACUAGUGCGAGAUGAAUUCAGAUGAUUUACUCAAGAAAAAGCAACAGACAUCAUUACUACUAGAUGAAAAUACAAGAAGUCAAAAAUAGCAUUUCCUAAAACUUAAUUUAAAUUAACAGAUUUUCUAGUCAAUGAAGUGUUAUAAUUUUUAAAUUGUUAUGGUGAAGAUGUUAGCAGAUACUUAUUCACCGAUCCAAACGACGUGUAACAACGUUAGCAUUUAUUUGGAGUGUUUCUGGCACAUUCAUGAAUGUAAGUCCAAAAGGUUUUAGCUAGUUGUUAAAUGCUCUAGCAGCUAGUUAAUAUAAUAAUCUGUUUGUCUAACAAGACAAUGAACUGCAAGAUGUUGAAGAAAG